GGGGACGACAGGCUUCGACGUGGUCGGCUCGUGGGAAUGGUUGCGAGUCGAGGUCCCGGGCGGCCUCGUUAAACACCCGGGAAAAACAAUAAGUGCGGACUCUCACGAGUUUGCCCUCGCUGCCUAGAUAACACUGGGUAAGUGAGGUCUCGGCCCCCGCAGCCCGCGGCGGGGAUCACCGGGAUCAGAUAGCGGGCUCACCCGGUGCGGUCCGCCUCCGCCAAUCCGGGAACACUUCAGGAGGCUGGUCCCCCUCAACCCAGCCGGCAAGGCGAGCGGGGGACGAGAUCAAGAGCGCCGGCUACGCUCGUAGACGCCAUUUUCACGCGAUCGCGGACGUGGGUUCGAUUCCCACCGUCUCCAUCA
rnacentral:tmRNA from 1 species